GACAGAGGUGCCGAGCGUUAGGCGGAAUCACUGGGCUUAAAGCGUGUGUAGGCGGCCCGUUAAGUACCUUGUGAAAUCCCACGGCUCAACCGUGGAACGGCUGGGUAUACUGGCGGUCUUGGGCCACUCAGGGGCGAGCGGAACAAGUGGUGGAGCGGUGAAAUGCGUAGAUAUCACUUGGAACGCCGACGGUGAAAACAGCUCGCUGGGAGUGUGCCGACGCUGAGACACGAAAGCCAGGGGAGCGAACGGG
rnacentral:rRNA from 1 species